rnacentral:lncRNA from 1 species
AAAAAACUAAAAGAAAUCCUCUGAAAGUUCCCCAGCCCUCUGAGCUUCGGCCCUAGGCCGGUUUGCUCCGUUCAUCGUGCCUCCGUGCCCAGCCUCACGCGCCAUCGCCGACUUCGCCGUACACGACGGUCGGGAUCUGAAAAAAUUCGUUUUUCUCAGCCAAUCUAAAAGGUAUAUUUCUCUCAUCUAUUUUGAUGUAUUAUAUGCAAGUUGUUUGUAAUAAAGUAAUGAAAUAAAAAUAGUUAUGAUAGGUCACCUUUGCUUCUCUCGAAAACCUUCUGAUAUAUUAUUCAAGAAUACUCGGUGUACAAUAUCUUUUGUGGUGUGCUUCUCCCUAUGUCUCUGUAUUUUUCUCUAUAUAUCUUAUGUGUGUAUUCUCUCUGCUAUUGUGUAUCUCUGUCAACCUAUGUCUUUACAGAUUUGCGAAAGGCUUUAUAGCCUUAAACGACUGCCUAUUUUGGAAAGAAAUCGAAGGAUUUCCUUCCAUUUCCUGUUCUAGUAUAUCUGCUUCCUUUUUUGCUUUGGUUUCUUUCCUUUUCUUGCAGGUAACUUGCGAGGAUCUCGCUGAUGGAAGGGUUGAUGGCGUUGAUAGAGGCCUGAAGUCUGGUGGUGAGGAUUCGUGGUGACGGUGAGGCGCUGAUUACGGAGGCAAAGCCUUGAAUGGUGGCCUCGAUUCAGGAGCUGGACAGACGCUCCCUGAACCUUCCAGAACCUGUUGCGGUGCGAGGAGAAAGAGCUAGGGUUGGAAACCCUAGCUGGUAAUUUUAGGUUUGGGGCCUCUAUUAUUUGGGUCUGGUUUAGUCCUGGGCUAGGUAGGGUGUAACCGGUCUGUUUGAAUGUGUGUAUAACGGGUCUGGGUUAUUUUAGGUUUGCUGUAACGGGUCUGAGGUAUUUGGCCUUGUGUUUAGGCUCUUGUAAGGACUUUAUAUAGACUGUUAAAUAAAUAAACAUUUAUUCA